CCUACGGGCGGCAGCAGUGGGGAAUAUUGGGCAAUGGGCGCAAGCCUGACCCAGCAACGCCGCGUGAAGGAAGAAGGCUUUCGGGUUGUAAACCUCUUUUCUCCGGGACGAAGCAAGUGACGGUACCUGCGGAAUAAGCCACGCCUAACUACGUGCCAGCAGCCCCGGUAAUACGUAGGUGGCAAGCGUUAGGCGGAUUGACUGGGUGUAAAGGUCGUGUGGGCGGGAAGGCAAGUCAGAUGGGAAAACCAGGGGCUUAAACUGUGGCGUGCAUUUGAAACUGUUUUUCUUGAGUACUGGAGAGGCAGACGGAAUGCGUAGUGUAGCGGUGAAAUGCGUAGAUAUUAGGAAGAACACCGGUUGCGAAGGCAGUAUGCUGGACAGCAACUGACGCUGAGGCACGAAAGCGUGGGGAGCGAACAGGAUUAGAUACCCCGGUAGUC
rnacentral:rRNA from 1 species